GAUGAACGCUGGCGGCGUGCUUAACACAUGCAAGUCGAACGAGAAAUGGAGACGGAAACCUUCGGGCGGAAGGCUUCAUUUCGAGUGGCGGACGGGUGAGUAACGCGUGGGUAACCUGCCUCAUACAGGGGGAUAACAGUUGGAAACGACUGUUAAUACCGCAUAAGACCACAGCACCGCAUGGUGCGGGGGUAAAAACUCCGGUGGUAUGAGAUGGACCCGCGUUCGAUUAGCCAGUUGGCGGGGUAACGGCCCACCAAAGCGACGAUCGAUAGCCGAUCUGAGAGGAUGACCGGCCACAUUGGGACUGAGACACGGCCCAAACUCCUACGGGAGGCAGCAGUGGGGAAUAUUGCACAAUGGGGGAAACCCUGAUGCAGCGACGCCGCGUGAGCGAAGAAGUACUUCGGUAUGUAAAGCUCUAUCAGCAGGGAAGAAAAUGACGGUACCUGAGUAAGAAGCCCCGGCUAACUACGUG
rnacentral:rRNA from 1 species